CUGCUUGCUUACGGUCUCGCUCGGGCAACCGAGCGGGGCCGGGCACGCUACCCUUGCCUAUGCAUACCUGUUGUUACUCCCUCGGCGGGGAAACCCGCCGCUGGGGACACGUAAACUCUCUUGUAUAAAGCAUCAAACCUUCUGAACAAAACUAAAUAAUCA
rnacentral:misc_RNA from 1 species